rnacentral:rRNA from 1 species
UUAAGCGACUAAGCGUACACGGUGGAUGCCCUGGCAGUCAGAGGCGAUGAAGGACGUGCUAAUCUGCGAUAAGCGUCGGUAAGGUGAUAUGAACCGUUAUAACCGGCGAUUUCCGAAUGGGGAAACCCAGUGUGUUUCGACACACUAUCAUUAACUGAAUCCAUAGGUUAAUGAGGCGAACCGGGGGAACUGAAACAUCUAAGUACCCCGAGGAAAAGAAAUCAACCGAGAUUCCCCCAGUAGCGGCGAGCGAACGGGGAGGAGCCCAGAGCCUGAAUCAGUGUGUGUGUUAGUGGAAGCGUCUGGAAAGGCGCGCGAUACAGGGUGACAGCCCCGUACACAAAAAUGCACAUGCUGUGAGCUCGAUGAGUAGGGCGGGACACGUGGUAUCCUGUCUGAAUAUGGGGGGACCAUCCUCCAAGGCUAAAUACUCCUGACUGACCGAUAGUGAACCAGUACCGUGAGGGAAAGGCGAAAAGAACCCCGGCGAGGGGAGUGAAAAAGAACCUGAAACCGUGUACGUACAAGCAGUGGGAGCAUGCUUAGGCGUGUGACUGCGUACCUUUUGUAUAAUGGGUCAGCGACUUAUAUUCUGUAGCAAGGUUAACCGAAUAGGGGAGCCGAAGGGAAACCGAGUCUUAACUGGGCGUUAAGUUGCAGGGUAUAGACCCGAAACCCGGUGAUCUAGCCAUGGGCAGGUUGAAGGUUGGGUAACACUAACUGGAGGACCGAACCGACUAAUGUUGAAAAAUUAGCGGAUGACUUGUGGCUGGGGGUGAAAGGCCAAUCAAACCGGGAGAUAGCUGGUUCUCCCCGAAAGCUAUUUAGGUAGCGCCUCGUGAACUCAUCUCCGGGGGUAGAGCACUGUUUCGGCAAGGGGGUCAUCCCGACUUACCAACCCGAUGCAAACUGCGAAUACCGGAGAAUGUUAUCACGGGAGACACACGGCGGGUGCUAACGUCCGUCGUGAAGAGGGAAACAACCCAGACCGCCAGCUAAGGUCCCAAAGUCAUGGUUAAGUGGGAAACGAUGUGGGAAGGCCCAGACAGCCAGGAUGUUGGCUUAGAAGCAGCCAUCAUUUAAAGAAAGCGUAAUAGCUCACUGGUCGAGUCGGCCUGCGCGGAAGAUGUAACGGGGCUAAACCAUGCACCGAAGCUGCGGCAGCGACGCUUAUGCGUUGUUGGGUAGGGGAGCGUUCUGUAAGCCUGUGAAGGUGUACUGUGAGGUAUGCUGGAGGUAUCAGAAGUGCGAAUGCUGACAUAAGUAACGAUAAAGCGGGUGAAAAGCCCGCUCGCCGGAAGACCAAGGGUUCCUGUCCAACGUUAAUCGGGGCAGGGUGAGUCGACCCCUAAGGCGAGGCCGAAAGGCGUAGUCGAUGGGAAACAGGUUAAUAUUCCUGUACUUGGUGUUACUGCGAAGGGGGGACGGAGAAGGCUAUGUUGGCCGGGCGACGGUUGUCCCGGUUUAAGCGUGUAGGCUGGUUUUCCAGGCAAAUCCGGAAAAUCAAGGCUGAGGCGUGAUGACGAGGCACUACGGUGCUGAAGCAACAAAUGCCCUGCUUCCAGGAAAAGCCUCUAAGCAUCAGGUAACAUCAAAUCGUACCCCAAACCGACACAGGUGGUCAGGUAGAGAAUACCAAGGCGCUUGAGAGAACUCGGGUGAAGGAACUAGGCAAAAUGGUGCCGUAACUUCGGGAGAAGGCACGCUGAUAUGUAGGUGAAGCGACUUGCUCGUGGAGCUGAAAUCAGUCGAAGAUACCAGCUGGCUGCAACUGUUUAUUAAAAACACAGCACUGUGCAAACACGAAAGUGGACGUAUACGGUGUGACGCCUGCCCGGUGCCGGAAGGUUAAUUGAUGGGGUUAGCGCAAGCGAAGCUCUUGAUCGAAGCCCCGGUAAACGGCGGCCGUAACUAUAACGGUCCUAAGGUAGCGAAAUUCCUUGUCGGGUAAGUUCCGACCUGCACGAAUGGCGUAAUGAUGGCCAGGCUGUCUCCACCCGAGACUCAGUGAAAUUGAACUCGCUGUGAAGAUGCAGUGUACCCGCGGCAAGACGGAAAGACCCCGUGAACCUUUACUAUAGCUUGACACUGAACAUUGAGCCUUGAUGUGUAGGAUAGGUGGGAGGCUUUGAAGUGUGGACGCCAGUCUGCAUGGAGCCGACCUUGAAAUACCACCCUUUAAUGUUUGAUGUUCUAACGUUGACCCGUAAUCCGGGUUGCGGACAGUGUCUGGUGGGUAGUUUGACUGGGGCGGUCUCCUCCUAAAGAGUAACGG